GACGAACGCUGGCGGCGUGCUUAACACAUGCAAGUAGUGCGACGAACCAGGGCUUGCCCUGGGGCAAAGCCGCGAACGGGUGAGUAACACGUGAGUAACCUGCCCCGAUGACCGGGACAACCCGAGGAAACUCGGGCUAAUACCGGAUGUGGUACACGGACUUAAGCCCGUGUACUAAAGGAAGCUUCGGCCUCCGCAUUGGGAGGGGUUCGCGGCCCAUUAGCUUGUUGGUGGGGUAACGGCCCACCAAGGCAACGAUGGGUAGCUGGUCUGAGAGGACGAUCAGCCACACUGGGGACUGAGACACGGCCCAGACUCCUACGGGGAGCAGCAGGU
rnacentral:rRNA from 1 species